rnacentral:rRNA from 1 species
AUGAUUGCUUGGGAAUUAUGGAAGGAAAGGAACUAUUGCGUCUUCAGGGCAAAAACACCUCGGGCUGAAGAUGUCAUCUCAGCAAUCGGGAACAACAUCGAGCAGUGGAGAUUGGCCGGAGCCAAGUGCAUGGAGCCUCCCUUCGGGGACACAAUUAGUGAAAAUUAG